rnacentral:rRNA from 1 species
AGAGUUUGAUCCUGGCUCAGGACGAACGCUGGCGGCGUGCUUAACACAUGCAAGUCGAGCGGAAAGGCCCACUUGUGGGUACUCGAGCGGCGAACGGGUGAGUAACACGUGAGUAAUCUGCCCUCUACUUUGGGAUAGCCACCGGAAACGGUGAUUAAUACCGGAUAUGACAUACUGGCGCAUGUUGGUGUGUGGAAACUUUUUGGGUAGGGGAUGUGCUCGCGGCCUAUCAGCUUGAUGGUGGGGUAAUGGCCUACCAUGGCUUCGACGGGUAGCCGGCCUGAGAGGGUGACCGGUCACACUGGGACUGAGACACGGCCCAGACUCCUACGGGAGGCAGCAGUGGGGAAUAUUGGACAAUGGCGGAAGCCUGAUCCAGCAACGCCGCGUGAGGGAUGACGGCCU